CCACACGACUCUCGGCAACGGAUAUCUCGGCUCUCGCAUCGAUGAAGAACGUAGCAAAAUGCGAUACCUGGUGUGAAUUGCAGAAUCCCGUGAACCAUCGAGUUUUUGAACGCAAGUUGCGCCCGAGGCCUUUUGGCCGAGGGCACGUCUGCCUGGGCGUCACGC
rnacentral:rRNA from 1 species